AGGGUUCCGUAGCCAAAUGGCAAAAAACGGAACUCUUAUAGAUUCGUCGUGUCUGUCUGUGCGUCUGUCCGUCCGUAUGUCACAGCCACUUUUUUCCGAAACUAUAAGAACUGUUGAAACUUGGUAAGUAGAUGUAUUCUGUGAAACGCAUUAAGAUUUUAACACAAAAAUAGAAAAAAAACAAUAAAUUUUGGGGGUCCCCCAUACUUAGAACUGAAACUUAAAAUUUCUUUUUCAUUAAACCCAUACGUGUGGGGUAUCUAUGGAUAGGUCUUCAAAACAAAAAUGAUAUUGAGGUUUGUAAUAUUUUUUUUUUCUAAACUGAAUAGUUUGCGCGAGAGACACUUCCAAAGUGGUAAAUUGUGUGCACCCCCCCCCCCCCCCUUCAACUUCUAAAAUAAGAGAAUGACAAAACUAAAAAAUAUAUAUGAUGUACAUUAUCAUGCAAACUUCCACCGAAAAUUGGUUUGAACGAGAUCUAGUACAUAGGUAGUUUUUUUUUAAUCAACUGAAACUCAAAAAUUUUUUUUUCAUCAAACCCAUACGUGUGGGGUAUCUAUGGAUAGGUCUUCAAAAAUGAUAUUGAGGUUUCUAAUAUCAUUUUCUUCUAAACUGAAUAGUUUGCGCGAGAGACACUUCCAAAGUUCUAAAAUGUGUGUCCCCCCCCCCUGUAACUUCUAAAAUAAGAGUAUGAUAAAACUAAAAAAAAUAUAUGAUGUACAUUACCAUGCAAACUUCCACCGAAAAUUGGUUUGAACAAGAUUUGGUAAGUAGUUUUUUUUUAAUACGUCAC